rnacentral:rRNA from 1 species
CCUACGGGAGGCAGCAGUGGGGAAUUUUGGACAAUGGGCGCAAGCCUGAUCCAGCAAUGCCGCGUGAGUGAAGAAGGCCUUCGGGUUGUAAAGCUCUUUUGUCAGGGAAGAAACGGUUCGGGUUAAUACCUUGGGCUAAUGACGGUACCUGAAGAAUAAGCACCGGCUAACUACGUGCCAGCAGCCGCGGUAAUACGUAGGGUGCAAGCGUUAAUCGGAAUUACUGGGCGUAAAGCGUGCGCAGGCGGUUGUGCAAGACAGAUGUGAAAUCCCCGGGCUCAACCUGGGAAUUGCAUUUGUGACUGUACGGCUAGAGUGUGUCAGAGGGGGGUAGAAUUCCACGUGUAGCAGUGAAAUGCGUAGAGAUGUGGAGGAAUACCGAUGGCGAAGGCAGCCCCCUGGGAUAACACUGACGCUCAUGCACGAAAGCGUGGGGAGCAAACAGGAUUAGAUACCCUGGUAGUCCACGCCCUAAACGAUGUCUACUAGUUGUCGGGUCUUUAUUGACUUGGUAACGCAGCUAACGCGUGAAGUAGACCGCCUGGGGAGUAACGGUCGCAAGAUUAAAACUUAAAUUGAAUUGACGG